GACAUUCGGGACUCCCUAGAGUUCUAGAUCAAGGAAGAAGAAGGGUUUUCUUUCUUGUGCGUAGCCUUGAAGAAGGAGUUUUUUUUUUUAGAUUUUUUUUAAAAUUUUUUUUUAAGAUAAAAAUUUGAUUAGAUUUAAUUUUUAAUAUGAGAAUUUAGAGAAGAAAUAUCAAAAAAAUUUGGUUGGGCAUUUGGGGCUUUCUAAAGUUCUAGAUCAAGGAGAAAAAGGGAGAAGAAGAGAGAAGAACGGUUCUUCUCUUGGGUCUCUCCUUUGGAUUCUUCUAGGGCUCAAGAUCUUCUAUGAUUUUUAAUAUAAAAAAUUAUAUUAGAUCUAAUUUUUAUCAUAAAAAAUUAGAGAAGAAAAGUUCUUCUUAAGGGUGUGAAAGGAAGAGAGAAAGGUUCUCUCUUAUGCAUGAAAAAAUAGAGAAGAAAGGAUUCUUCUCUUGAUCUCUAUUAUAGAGAUCAGAUGCAUGGAUUCAGGAAGAAAACGAGAGAGUCUCUUUAUUCUUCAUAUUCAUCAUAUUCCUCUUAAAUCAGCCAAAGAAUGGUGUCUUCGCGAGCUAGCACUCCCAAGA
rnacentral:lncRNA from 1 species